UUAUUCGAACCGAAGCCUCGCUCAAAAAUCGGCGGCAACGUGUAAGAAGUCUCGCUCUCCUCUUUCUUCCUCCAUCCUUAGCCACGGAUUAAAGUAUCGGCGACACCAGCCGCGACUGAAUAAUUCAGGACGAAAGUUUGAGCCGCAAGCCAAGGAGGGGGGAUGG